AGAGUUUGAUCCUGGCUCAGGACGAACGCUAGCGGUGUGCCUAAUCUAUGCAAGUCGAAAGAAUUUAUAUUCUUGGCGGACGAGUGAGUAACACGUAGGAACGUACCUUUAGGUAGAGCAUAACCCGUCGAAAGAUGGGAUAAUACUCUAUAAUGUCGGUUUACUGACCAAAGAUUUAUUGCCUAAAGAUCGGCCUGCGUCCCAUCAGUUUGUUGGUAAGGUAAUGGCUUACCAAGACUACGACGGGUAGGGGGCGUGAAAGCGUGUACCCCCACGAUGGCACUGAGACACGGGCCAUACAUCUACGGAUGGCAGCAAGUAGGAAUCGUGCGCAAUGGGCGAAAGCCUGACGCCGCGACACCGCGUGAGGGAUGACGGUCUUCGGAUUGUAAACCUACAUUAAAAAGUCACGGCUAACUUCGUGCCAGCAGCAGCGGUAAUACGGAGGUGGCAAGCGUUGUCCGAUGUUAUUGGGCGUAAAGAGUUCUGUAGGUGGAUUUGUAAGUUAUAUGUGAAAGGCUGCGGCCCAACCGUAGUUAUGCGUGUAAUACUGCAGAUCUAGAGAAAGGUAGAGGUUGGCGGAACGUACAGUGUAGUAGUGAAAUGCGUUGAUAUUGUACGGAACACCAAAGGCGUAGGCAGCCAACUGGACCUUUUCUGACACUGAGAGACGAAAGCUUGGGUAGCGAAACGGAUUAGAUACCCGUGUAGUCCAAGCCGUAAACGAUGUCGACUAGGAAGUGAAUUGGGUUUUUGCCCUUUCCACUUUCGAAGCUAACGCAUUAAGUCGACCGCCUGGGAAUUACGGUCGCAAGACUAAAACUCAAAGGAAUUGGCGGGGACCCGCACAAGCGGUGGAGCGCCUGGUUUAAUUCGAUGAUAAGCGAAGAACCUUACCAAGGUUUGACAUGCUACUGCAAACCCCUAGAAACAGGGGCGUCCUUCGAGGGUGUAGCACAGGUGUUGCACGGCUGUCGUCAGUUCGAGUCGUGAGAUGUACGGUUAAGUCCGGUAUCGAACGCAACCCCUAUCGUUAGUUGUAUCACUCUAGCGAAACCGCCCCGGCAACGGGGAGGAAGGAGGGGAUGAUGUCAAGUCAGCGUGGCCCUUAUGUCUUGGGCUACACAGGCGCUACAAUGGUCAGUACAAUGGGCUGCAACCUGGUGACAGGAAGCUAAUCCCACAAAGCUGGCCCCAGUUCGGAUUGAAGGCUGCAACUCGCCUUCAUGAAGUCGGAAUCGCUAGUAAUCGCUGGUCAGCCAUACAGCGGUGAAUACGUUCUCGGGUCUUGCACACACCGCCCGUCAAAUGGGGGAAGUUGAAAAUACCCAAAAUCUCAAUUUAUUGGGCCUAAGGUAGAGUCAAUGACCAACAUUAAGUCGUAACAAGGUA
rnacentral:rRNA from 1 species